AUGGCCUGGACUCCUCUCCUGCUCGUGUUCCUCUCUCACUGCACAGGGAGGGCCAGGCCGCGGGGACCAGGUUCCGUCUCCCAGCCUGUGCUGACUCAGCCUCCCUCCCUCUCUGCAUCUCUGGGAGCAUCAGCCAGACUCACCUGCACCCUGAGCAGUGGGUACAGUGUUGCCAGCUAUGUUAUAACCUGGUACCAGCAGAAGCCAGGGAGGUCUCCCUGGUACCUCCUGUCCUACAACUCAGACUCCAUUAAGGACCAGGGCUCCAGGGUCCCCAGCCACUUCUCUGGAUCCAAAGAGGCCUCAGCCAAUGCAGGGCUUCUACUCAUCUCGGCUGCAGCCCAAGGACGAGGCUGACCAUUACUGUGCAAUCUGGUACAACAAUGCAGAGACCAGCCUUUGGAGGGAUCCCUCUGCCUUUGUUCCUCACUCCUAA